rnacentral:lncRNA from 1 species
GCAACCUCUGCCUCCCGGGUUCAAGAAAUCCUCCUGCCUCAGCCUCUCGAGUAGCUGUGAUUAUAGGCACACGCCACCACAACCAGCUAAUUUUUUGUAUUUUUAGUAGAGAUGGGGUUUCGUCAUGUUGGUCAGGCUGGUCUCGAACUCCCGACCUCAGGUGAUCCGCCUGCCUUGGCCUCCCAAAGUGCUGGGAUUACAGGCAUGAGCCACCACGCCCAGCAACUAAAUUGUUAAUCUCAUUACUAGACCUUCCUGUAGGUGACAGUGUGACAUAUGCCCCUGCCCACCACCUGAGUGAUUUUGAGUUUUCUGCCUGGGCUCAGUCAAAUGUAAAAUUGUGAGAUAUCUCUUGACUCAGUAUCUAAUUGAUGUGACUAUUCUGCUUUGUCUGUAACCACAGGUGACAUUGUGACAUAUUUCUGGGCCUUGUACGCAGGUGAUGUGACUCUCCUCUCUUGUCUUGGCGAUGCCCCAGAGGGCACUGUGACACAUUACUGGAUCCUGCACCCCGGAUAUUUGGCUCUCCUACCUGUGCCCUGCCCACAUGGGCCAUUGAGACCUAUUGCUGAGUCCCAAGACCCAUGUGAUGUAACUUACCUGCUAGAGCUCUUUCUAUAAGGGGCAUUUGACCUAUCUCUGCCUAUUAUCCAGGUGACGUGACUCUUUUCUCCAACCUGGUCUCAGUCUACAGGAAAAAUUGUGACAUAUCUCUGAGACUAGCUCCUAGCUGAUGUGACUUUUCUCUUUUUCCUAGCUUCUGCCCACUGGGGAGAUUGUAACAUGCCCCUUGUCCCAGCACUAUGUUGAUAUUUACUCUUGCCUUCACGCUGCAAUCAAAGAUAUUGUGACAUAUUUCUGGGCCCAGCGCCAAAGUGAUGUGAGUCUCCUGCCUGGAUCCUGCCCAUAAGGGGUAUUUUGACAUAUCUUUGGACCCAUCAAUUCAUUGAUGGGACCUUGUCUCCUAUGAGCUUUGCCCUGGACCAUCUGCACAAAAUAGAGAACGACUUAUCACUGAGCCCAGCACACAGAUAGUGUGACUCUCCUGCCAAUUCCCUACCCUCAAAAAUGAUUGUGACAUAUUCCUGGAGAAGGACCCAGAUGAUGUGAUUCUCCUGCCUGCUCCUUACCCACAAGUAAGAUUGUGACAUAUAUCUUUGCUCAGUUUACAGGUGUGACCAUGACUUUUUUACCUCAAACCAGCCAAUAUGGGUAAUACUAUGGGUCUUCCCUUUGUUCGAAGGUAAUAGAGGGUUACCACUUUGUUGCAUAUCAUAU